AGCAGCAUGGCGCAGUGGUAGCGCGCGGGGCCCAUAUCGAGAUAUCAUGGUAAUGAAGGAACCCCGAGGUCACUUGAUCGAAACAAGUUGCUGCUA